GUGAAUCAUCGAAUCUUUGAACGCAAAUUGCACUCUCUUCGGAGAGUAUGACUGUUUGUGGGCCAGCCUAUAAAAAAUCGACAUCGUUGCUGUUUCGUGGCGGUGUUCGUCGGACACUGGGUUAUCUUAAAUCCUUUUGGUUUUUAAGCGACUUAAAAUUUUCUUUUUGGUUCUAUGAACGUUUCUAAGAUUUAUUUCUUUACACGUUUAAGGUAUCGAUUUUUAUUAGACGUGACCUUCAUAUCGGAUCGCGUUCUUAAUCUUUCAUU
rnacentral:misc_RNA from 1 species